UUCAUCACCCAGCAGGGGAGUCACCACAAACUCAAAGGUGGUUUUCCCAAGGGAGGCCUAUCCAUUGCAUCCAACCCUUGCAGUUUCCCCAAACAUGGGACUCUCGACUGCGUAAUCUGUGGUAGCUGAGGACUGCACCUGUGCUCUCCCCUA
ensembl:snRNA U1 U1 spliceosomal RNA